rnacentral:lncRNA from 1 species
GUUUCGAUUGCACAGAGUGCCCUGGAAGAUUUGCCCAAGGAUCUCUGUUACCUUGGCGUGAGGCUGACACUUGGGCUUGGAGCUCAUCAUGUAAUGAGAUGUGGGACAUUGAAGUUCAGAAGAUAAAUUGCCUAAGAAGCUGUAACGAGUAUCAGAGGUGGAAUGUGAACACCAAUGAGUCAGACUCUACAGGGCACCACCAAACCUGUCUGGGUACCAUCAUCUCAGGGUAGCAUCUAGAAAAACAGACUCCUGGUCAUAGGUCAGACAGGUCCUGUUGUCGAUCAGGAGUAAGCAGGUUCUCUGGAGGUGGAGCCCAGCAGCUAGUGUUCUGAUGCCUGUGGGCCACCAUUCUUCAUGUAGGCAGCUUUUCUAAUAGCUUUAGCCAAUGGUGCUAAUUAACUGUUCAUAACUUUAUUCAUCCUAAUGGGAAAUCCUGAUGAAGAAAUUGCCACAUGCUGUGUGUCGCACCAAGAAGUUCAUGUAUAUUAAGCAAGUGGAUUUUCACUACUCUCCUAUGCAUCUAGCCAUGUGCAUAUCAUGAUAUCUGCCUGGCAGAAGAGGAGACAGAAGAACUAAAAAACUUUUUACCUCCACAGCAUUGUUAUACAAGCUAACUUUUGGAUCAACCUUAAUUUUUUUUUUUUUUAAAUGCCCAUUCAGUUGACUGGCCCAGCAGACUCACUUCAGUGACGAAUUUCCAAACAGGCUCUCUUGAUGAACUGGAGGCUCACCAAAUUUGGCAAGAGUUGCUGUCCAGCAAGCCCCAGGACCCUCCUGACUCUGCCCCCACAGCUCUGGAUUUCCAGGGAUACACUGUCACAUCCAGCUCUUCACAUAUGGGUUUCCAGAUGACGGACCCCAGGUAUGCUGUGCAGCAAGCGUGUCCAUUGCCACUGAGCCAUCUCUGCCACCUGCUUCUCUUCAUCUCCACUUUGGCUGCCUACUCCUUCCUUCCCUUCUCACAGGCUCUCACCAUCACAACUAGCACAAGUAUCUUCUAUGUCUUUGUGGGUUCUUUUUCUUUGGAUACACAGUCUUGCUAAGUUGUCCAGGCUGGCCUAAACUUACAAUCCUCCUGCCUUAGCUUCUCAAGUAGGUGUAACCUGUCCUUUUUCAAAUUUUAUGAGUGUGAGCGUUUUGCCUGCCUUUAUGUCUGUGUACUACAUGAGUACCUGAUCCCCAAGGUAGCCAGAAGCGGAUGUUGGAUACCUUGAAACUGGAGUUACAAAUGAUUGGAAGUCCCAUGUGGGUGCUUGGAAUAGAAUCCAAGUAUUUUAGGGGAGCAGCCAGUGCCACCUUCCCCUACCCCCCAGCGCCAUGCCUGAGUAACCUUUUAAUAUAUAAAUUACACACAUAUAUAAUUAUAUAUAAUAUAUUAUGAAUAUAUAAUAUAAAUAUGUAAAUUGUAUGAUGCCAGGGAGCAGGGUCAGUCAGUGAAGCAUUUCCUGCACAUGGGGCCCUGAGCUUGGCUCCUCAGCAUCCAUGUAGAAUGCUAGGUAUGGCAGCAAGUGCCUGAAUGCUCAGUGCUGGAGACAAGAGGAUCCUGCAUUCUGCAGGCAUAAAGCAUUUACUUUGAACCUGUGAGGUAAAGAAAGCAUUCAACAGUCAUACCUUCAGUAGGAGGUCUGGUGACAUUUUCAGUUUGGCUUUGGCUAACAGACUCCUUGGUAGAUUUUAUUAGAUUUUCAAUUUGGUUUUGGCUAGCAGACUUUUUGGUAUAUUUCUUAAACUUUUCAGUGAGGUUUUGGAUAGCAGAUUCCUUGCUAUCUUUGAUUUCAAUUUCAGUUUGACUUUGACCAACAGACUCCUUGGGAGAUAUUGUUACAUUUUCAUAUUGGUUUUGGGAAGAAGAGGUCUGGAGAGAUUUGGUUACAAAUUCCGUUUCUUCUUCCCUAGUAGACUCUUGGACAUUCUCAGCAACCUCCUGGUUUGGAAGGGGAUGUGCAUCUGAGGCUUCUUUUUCUGUAUCUACAGUCAGUGUAGAAUCUAAAAAUCCCCAAACAAACAGUAAAAGUCACAUUAUGGUCAAUGACACAGAGACAACUGACGCUUAUACAAACAACACUGAACAAUGGAACUCUCAAUGAGCAGGAUGUCUCCCCACUCUCCCAUGAGCACAUCAUUGAGAUUCCUCACAAUAAGAUCCUGGCUUGCCACUAACAAAGAAGGCAGUGUCUGCAGAGUGCAUACUCCCUAGGAGCUGGCUGGAUGUUGUGAGCAGAAGGACCAGAUGGAGCUGUCACCAUGCCGUGUUACCAAGAGGCCAAACCAUCUGCCUCUAUCUUUACUUACUGAACAAAAAAUGAUUUUCAACAUAUUCAUUACUGUGAAAAGUGCAUUUCUUCAUUCGAAUAUGUAUCUUUAAGAAACAGAUGCAAUAUGAAACAAAAUUAAAUAUGACUGGGAAGGCAAAUAGCUAUAAAGCUGCUUAAAGACUG